GGAUCGAUAGCGCAGUCUGGGAGCGCACGGCACUGAAGACGCCGCCUGCCCCGGUUCGAAUCCGGGUCGAUCCG
rnacentral:tRNA from 1 species